rnacentral:misc_RNA from 1 species
GAUGAAGAACGCAGCGAAAUGCGAUAAGUAAUGUGAAUUGCAGAAUUCAGUGAAUCAUCUAAUCUUUGAACGCACAUUGCGCCCGCCAGCAUUCUGGCGGGCAUGCCUGUUCGAGCGUCAUUUCAACCCUCGAGCCCCCCCGGGGGCCUCGGUGUUGGGGGACGGCACACCAGCCGCCCCCGAAAUGCAGUGGCGACCCCGCCGCAGCCUCCCCUGCGUAGUAGCACACACCUCGCACCGGAGCGCGGAGGCGGUCACGCCGUAAAACGCCCAACUUUCUUAGAGUUGACCUCGGAUCAGGUAGGAAUACCCGCUGAACUUAAGCAUAUCAAUAAGCGGAGGA